rnacentral:rRNA from 1 species
CGUCGGGAAACCACUCGCCUAACGAGUGGGCGUCCGGCGGAAACUACAGGGCUUAGGACCGGAAGACUUGAGGGGUACGUCUGGGGUAGGAGUGAAAUCCUGUAAUCCUGGACGGACCGCCGAUAGCGAAAGCACCUCAAGACGACGGAUCCGACAGUGAGGGACGAAAGCUAGGGUCUCGAACCGGAUUAGAUACCCGG